CGUAGGGGGCAAGCGUUGUCCGGAUUUACUGGGUGUAAAGGGUGCUCAGGUGGCUUGGAUAGUCAGUGGUGAAAUCUGAGAGCUUAACUCUCAAACUGCCAUUGAUACUUCUUAGCUUGAGUACGGAAGAGGCUGAUGGAAUUUCAGGUGUAGCAGUGAAAUGCGUAGAUAUCUGAAAGAACACCAGUGGCGAAGGCGGUCAGCUGGUCCGUUACUGACACUAUAGCACGAAAGCGUGGGUAGCAAACAGGAUUAGAUACCCUGGUAGUCCACGCCCUAAACGAUGAAUACUAGACGUUGGGUGUAAAAACUCAGUGUCGCAGCUAACGCAUUAAGUAUUCCACCUGGGGAGUACGAUCGCAAGGUUG
rnacentral:rRNA from 1 species